rnacentral:rRNA from 1 species
UGGGGAAUUUGGACAAUGGGCGAAAGCCUGAUCCAGCAAUGCCGCGUGUGUGAAGAAGGCCUUCGGGUUGUAAAGCACUUUUGUCCGGAAAGAAAUCCUUGGCUCUAAUACAGUCGGGGGAUGACGGUACCGGAAGAAUAAGCACCGGCUAACUACGUGCCAGCAGCCGCGGUAAUACGUAGGGUGCAAGCGUUAAUCGGAAUUACUGGGCGUAAAGCGUGCGCAGGCGGUUUGCUAAGACCGAUGUGAAAUCCCCGGGCUCAACCUGGGAACUGCAUUGGUGACUGGCAGGCUAGAGUAUGGCAGAGGGGGGUAGAAUUCCACGUGUAGCAGUGAAAUGCGUAGAGAUGUGGAGGAAUACCGAUGGCGAAGGCAGCCCCCUGGGCCAAUACUGACGCUCAUGCACGAAAAGCGUGGGGAGCAAACAGGAUUAGAUACCCUGGUAGUCCACGCCCUAAAACGAUGUCAACUAGUUGUUGGGGAUUCAUUUCCUUAGUAACGUAGCUAACGCGUGAAGUUGACCGCCUGGGGAGUACGGUCGCAAGAUUAAAACUUAAAUGAAUUGACGGGGUCAUAGCUG